rnacentral:rRNA from 1 species
UGCUAGUCGAGCGGAUGAGGGAGCUUGCUCCUGGAUUCAGCGGCGGACGGGUGAGUAAUGCCUAGGAAUCUGCCUGGUAGUGGGGGAUAACGUCCGGAAACGGGCGCUAAUACCGCAUACGUCCUGAGGGAGAAAGUGGGGGAUCUUCGGACCUCACGCUAUCAGAUGAGCCUAGGUCGGAUUAGCUAGUUGGUGGGGUAAAGGCCUACCAAGGCGACGAUCCGUAACUGGUCUGAGAGGAUGAUCAGUCACACUGGAACUGAGACACGGUCCAGACUCCUACGGGAGGCAGCAGUGGGGAAUAUUGGACAAUGGGCGAAAGCCUGAUCCAGCCAUGCCGCGUGUGUGAAGAAGGUCUUCGGAUUGUAAAGCACUUUAAGUUGGGAGGAAGGGCAGUAAGUUAAUACCUUGCUGUUUUGACGUUACCAACAGAAUAAGCACCGGCUAACUUCGUGCCAGCAGCCGCGGUAAUACGAAGGGUGCAAGCGUUAAUCGGAAUUACUGGGCGUAAAGCGCGCGUAGGUGGUUCAGCAAGUUGGAUGUGAAAUCCCCGGGCUCAACCUGGGAACUGCAUCCAAAACUACUGAGCUAGAGUACGGUAGAGGGUGGUGGAAUUUCCUGUGUAGCGGUGAAAUGCGUAUAUAUAGGAAGGAACACCAGUGGCGAAGGCGACCACCUGGACUGAUACUGACACUGAGGUGCGAAAGCGUGGGGAGCACACAGGAUUAGA